UUAAGGCUGAGCUGUGAUGGGGAGAAGACAUUGUGUCUUCGAGUCGUUGAUUUCACACUGCCGAGAAAAGCCUCUAGAUAGAAAAUAGGUGCCCGUACCGCAAACCGACACAGGUAGUCAAGAUGAGAAUUCUAAGGUGAGCGAGCGAACUCUCGUUAAGGAACUCGGCAAAAUGACCCCGUAACUUCGGGAGAAGGGGUGCUCUUUAGGGUUAACGCCCAGAAGAGCCGCAGUGAAUAGGCCCAAGCGACUGUUUAUCAAAAACACAGGUCUCUGCUAAACCGUAAGGUGAUGUAUAGGGGCUGACGCCUGCCCGGUGCUGGAAGGUUAAGAGGAGUGGUUAGCUUCUGCGAAGCUACGAAUCGAAGCCCCAGUAAACGGCGGCCGUAACUAUAACGGUCCUAAGGUAGCGAAAUUCCUUGUCGGGUAAGUUCCGACCCGCACGAAAGGCGUAACGAUUUGGGCACUGUCUCAACGAGAGACUCGGUGAAAUCAUAGUACCUGUGAAGAUGCAGGUUACCCGCGACAGGACGGAAAGACCCCGUGGAGCUUUACUGUAGCCUGAUAUUGAAAUUCG
rnacentral:rRNA from 2 species